GGGGCCUCGGGUUAACACUGCAGCCGCUAGACCAGCUCCCUGGCGGGCGCGGAGCAAGCUUUGACCUUUGGAACUGGGCACCGCAGCCCCAAUAUCUGCCCUGCGGUCAGAGCAACCUGAACACUUCCUAGUGAAUUGCAAUGUAAAGGUGACCAGCGCCGCCACUUGGGUGAUCUUAACUUCUCUCAGCCUCAGUUGCCUCAUCUGUAAAAUGUGUUUCAUUCAAGAAAUGAUUACCCAGUGUCUACUUCGUGCUAAACAGCCUUGAGCCCUUGGCCUACAGCAAUGAAUAAAACCAUUUGUGAUGCUCAAAGAGAAGAUGGUCGGUGUAACGCGCUUGUGAUGCUCAAAGAGAAGAUGGUCGGUGUCAUGCGCUUCUGAUGCUCAAAGAGAUCGGUGUCACGCGCAUCCGUGUGAAGACACCGCCAAACAGGGGACAGAAUCUCUCUAUGUUGCCCAGGCUGGUCUCCAACUCGUGGGUUCAAGCGAUCCUCCUGCCUCAGUCUCCCAAAGUGCUGGGAUGACAGGUGUGGGCAACCACACCCAGCCAAGGAUCUGGUUUUUGAAAAGAUAAAUAAAUUUAACAAACCUCCAGCAAGACUGCAAAGAAAAAA
rnacentral:lncRNA from 1 species